AGAGCGAACGCUGGCGGCAGGCCUAACACAUGCAAGUCGAACGGAUCCUUCGGGAUUAGUGGCGGACGGGUGAGUAACACGUGGGAACGUGCCCUUUGGUUCGGAACAACUCAGGGAAACUUGAGCUAAUACCGGAUAAGCCUUUCGAGGGAAAGAUUUAUCGCCAUUGGAGCGGCCCGCGUAGGAUUAGCUAGUUGGUGAGGUAAAAGCUCACCAAGGCGACGAUCCUUAGCUGGUCUGAGAGGAUGAUCAGCCACAUUGGGACUGAGACACGGCCCAAACUCCUAACGGGAGCAGCAGUGGGGAAUCUUGCGCAAUGGCGAAAGCCUGACGCAGCCAUGCGCGUGGAUGAUGAAGGUCUAAGGAUGACGAAAAUUUCUUCACCGGGGUACACUAAAGUCGAACGGUACCCGGAAGAAGAACGCCCCGGACUAACCGUUCGUGACCAGCCAGGCCGACGGU
rnacentral:rRNA from 1 species